UAAAACGUAGGAGGCAAGCGUUAUCCGGAUUUACUGGGCGUAAAGCGCACGCAGGCGGCUGCGUAAGUCGGACGUGAAAGCUCCUGGCUCAACUGGGAGAGGUCGUUCGAAACUGCGCGGCUUGAGGUUGGAAGAGGAGAGCGGAAUUCCCGGUGUAGUGGUGGAAUGCGUAGAUAUCGGGAGGAACACCAGUGGCGAAAGCGGCUCUCUGGUCCACACCUGACGCUCAGGUGCGAAAGCGUGGGUAGCGAACGGG
rnacentral:rRNA from 1 species